AGAGUUUGAUCCUGGCUCAGGAUGAACGCUAGCGGCAGGCCUAACACAUGCAAGUCGAGGGGCAUCGGGAUUGAAGCUUGCUUCAAUUGCCGGCGACCGGCGCACGGGUGCGUAACGCGUAUGUAACCUACCUAUAACAGGGGCAUAACACUGAGAAAUUGGUACUAAUUCCCCAUAAUAUUCGGAGAGGCAUCUCUCCGGGUUGAAAACUCCGGUGGUUAUAGAUGGACAUGCGUUGUAUUAGCUAGUUGGUGAGGUAACGGCUCACCAAGGCAACGAUACAUAGGGGGACUGAGAGGUUAACCCCCCACACUGGUACUGAGACACGGACCAGACUCCUACGGGAGGCAGCAGUGAGGAAUAUUGGUCAAUGGGCGGAAGCCUGAACCAGCCAUGCCGCGUGCAGGAAGACGGCUCUAUGAGUUGUAAACUGCUUUUGUACGAGGGUAAACUCAGCUACGUGUAGGUGACUGAAAGUAUCGUACGAAUAAGGAUCGGCUAACUCCGUGCCAGCAGCCGCGGUAAUACGGAGGAUCCAAGCGUUAUCCGGAUUUAUUGGGUUUAAAGGGUGCGUAGGCGGCAGAUUAAGUUAGAGGUGAAAUUCCGAGGCUCAACCUUGGCACUGCCUCUGAUACUGGUUUGCUAGCGAGUAGAUGCUGUAGGCGGAAUGUGUGGUGUAGCGGUGAAAUGCAUAGAGAUCACACAGAACACCGAUUGCGAAGGCAGCUUACAAAUCUAUAUCGGACGCUGAGGCACGAAAGCGUGGGGAGCAAACAGGAUUAGAUACCCUGGUAGUCCACGCAGUAAACGAUGAUAACUCGUUGUCGGCGAUACACAGUCGGUGACUAAGCGAAAGCGAUAAGUUAUCCACCUGGGGAGUACGUUCGCAAGAAUGAAACUCAAAGGAAUUGACGGGGGCCCGCACAAGCGGAGGAACAUGUG
rnacentral:rRNA from 1 species